rnacentral:rRNA from 1 species
GAUGAACGCUGGCGGCGUGCUUAACACAUGCAAGUCGAACGGUGAAGGCGGAGCUUGCUCUGCUGGAUCAGUGGCGAACGGGUGAGUAACACGUGGGCAAUCUGCCCCUGACUCUGGGAUAAGCGCUGGAAACGGCGUCUAAUACUGGAUACGAGCUGCGAAGGCAUCUUCAGCAGCUGGAAAGAACUUCGGUCAGGGAUGAGCUCGCGGCCUAUCAGCUUGUUGGUGAGGUAACGGCUCACCAAGGCGUCGACGGGUAGCCGGCCUGAGAGGGUGACCGGCCACACUGGGACUGAGACACGGCCCAGACUCCUACGGGAGGCAGCAGUGGGGAAUAUUGCACAAUGGGCGAAAGCCUGAUGCAGCAACGCCGCGUGAGGGACGACGGCCUUCGGGUUGUAAACCUCUUUUAGCAGGGAAGAAGCGAAAGUGACGGUACCUGCAGAAAAAGCGCCGGCUAACUACGUG